rnacentral:snRNA from 1 species
AAAAAGGGUCGGUUGGCUAAAUAUGCCACGCUCAACCUCGUCUGGUGGGUGCUGUAUGGCUAUCAAGACUUAUGGGCGACAUAAUUUGUGGAACUCGGGUUGGCUCGCUUGGCCGACCAU